ACAGCUAUUUCCCUUAUGGUGAAAAACUUGCUUUGGAUGGUUUUCCCCACCUGCCUUCCUCCUGACAUCGCAUCUCUGGGGUGGGAGCGGCUCUGCACACAGCUGGCUCCAGCUACAAAAUCUGCUUCCAGAAGAGGGAGUGCCAAGGAGGCUGCGAAAACACCGGGUCCCUCCCUCCCCCAUUUGCCAACAUCACCACAGCCUGCAAUAAGCAGAUCUCAUCCCCGUCCUGGCCACACACCCCGGAAAGAGGGGACAGCGUGGGCCUCUUGCCGUGAAUCCGCAGGUGUCCUGCUGGCCAGUGGACCGACUCCCCCAUCUCACCCGGAAGUCGCACAGCUGAUCUCAUCACGUGAUUGCAAAAUCAUUUAGAACCUGAAGGGACGUCUUUAAAGACCGAGAAUCUGUCGUCUGGGAGAGGAACCGAGGGGCGGAGAAGACACAGCAGCACGAGGUGGCACAAGGCAGCGUGUGGGUCUCGCGGAGUCCCGCCAUCGCCCAGGGCCGUGCAGCCGGGCCAGGUUGCCAUCUCCCCACAGUGCCCUGCUGGGAUGGUCUCGUGGUCGCCCCCUGGAGGCGGGACGUGCCCAGGUUCCUCUGCCGUCCAGCUCCCUUAGGGUUUGUCUCACGUGUCCCCGGUCAUGCGCAAACAGUGGGAUUUGCCUGUUUCUGAGCUUGCUCACACGUGAGGCCACGAGACCAGGGUUAAGAUCAUCGGGGUGGCACGCCGUGCCUGCCUCUGCUCGGGGGGGAUUGUCCUCUGGCCAUUAGUUCCAAGACCCUCAUGCUUCUUUGGUUGCUCUGCUGUUUUGGACACACUGCGUUUCUGCGUUCUGAGGUACGAAGACAGGGUCAGGGCAAGAGUGACUGUCCCAGCCAGCCGGGAUCGGUGAGCUCCCUGCUGGAGUAUAACAUGACACACAGAAGAGUGCCUGCAUCAGCCGUAAACAGCUUGACGCGUUUUCACAAAGCACAGCCCAGGACGCGAACUUGACCAGCACGCGCCUCCCCGUCACCCCCCCGCCCAGCAAGGCCUCUCUGCCUUUCAGCAGCUUAGAUCAGCUUUAGCGGGCAGGAGUUUGUCCCCGGCUCACAUGACAGCCUGGCCUGCAGCUGCCCUCCGGUUCAGGAUGGCUGCGGGGCUGAUCUCCAGCAGGGAGGGCCCUGCUUCAUCUCCUUGUCCUCCUUGCCCUUGUGACUGAGCCAGCACACACGCACACACACACACACACACACACACACACACGGUUGCUGCUUGAGGGGCAGGGCUGGGCCCAUCUCAGCUGUCAGAUGUUCCUCUCUGGGGGUGCCGCCACCCGUGAGGUCGGCUGGUGACUCAAGGCCAGGGGGGUGGGGGGCUCCCUUUCCUUAUACUUCUAGAAGCCCCACCACGUGCACCAGGCAGCAGGAGGCCCUGGAGCAGGGUGACUCAGCAGUGUCUACGUGCAGAGAAGCCGAGUUCUGUGCUCUGGGAAAAGCAGCAGGUGGCAUUGGGUCGGGCUUGCCCCAUCCAGCGCAGCUUGUACUGUUUGGAAACCGCUUCCCCCCCAGCACCUCUGCUGGGCCCUCUGUUUAUCUGUGCAUGCUGAGCCCAGGUGCCAGGUGCCAGCCUGGACCUGUUUGCCUCCUGAGCUAUCUUCCAUCUGCUCUCCACCCCUCGUCCCCACUGCGGGCUGACGGCACAUCCUGCGUGCCCACCUCACUAAUAAACACCAGCCUGGCCUUUGUGCUGACCCCGUGCACGUCCCUGUAUCGGAGACUCUGCCCUCUGCCUCCUCAGCAGAGUGGCUCUGCUCGUGCAGGGCAGGAAGGCUGGAGGGCUGGGGGGCCUGAGGUCAGGGAGAAGGGCUCCUGUGCAGAGCAGCCCACCCCCAGGGAGCCCUAGCAUAGCCACACAGGAGUGUCCACAGCACCUCUGGUCCCCUGGGGCUAUAACAGAGCCAGGGAGCCCUACAGACACCUGGCUUGUGUUUGUGGUAGCAGACACGGGGCGACCCUCUGACUCCUGGGCUAGAAAGCUCUUGAGAGCCAUCAGGUCAGUGAUGUUCUCACAGAUGUGCCCAAGAGUCCCUUGGGGUGAGCAUGGAGGGUGGAGGUGAGGAGGGCUACAGUGUCAUGCAGUGGCUUAAGCCACCGCCUGCAGUACCAGCAUCCCAUAUGGGCACCAGUUCGAGUUCUAGCUGCUCCACUUCUGAUCUGGCUCCCUGCUAAUGUGCCUGGGAAAACAGCAGAAGAUGGCCCAAGUGCUUGGGCCCCUGCACUAUGUGGGAGACCCAGAUGGAGUUCCUGGCUCCUGGCUCCAGCCUGGCCCAGCCCUGAUCAUUGCAGCCUUCUGCCUUUCAAAUAAUUAAAAAAAUAAAGUAAACAUUUUGAAAGUUACAUGUAGGGGGAAUGUUUUAGAAAUGCAGGUUUCUCAGGCUCCCUCCCUCCCCCAGGUCCAGGCUAAGGCCUGGAAAUCUGCAUUUUGCAACAUAUUCCAGGUGAUUCUGACGUAGGUGACCCCCAGCUGCAGUUUGAGGAACUCCCAUGGAGACACACCCUCGUCCAGGUACAGAAAAGGGAAGCAGGCCCCGAGGGCUUCCCGAGGCGCUCACAGAGCACGGCCUAGCACCUGAGUCCCACCGUCCCUCCAUGCCUGCCACCUCCCCUGCAUGCUCUCCCAGCUCUGCCGCCACUUCCUACCAGGUCUCCCGCCCUGUAAGCUGGAGGGGAACACACAGGCUAGGGCUCCUGCCAAGGCCAAACACCUUCCUGCCUCCCUCCACCCCCUAUCCCUGCCUUAUUCUUCCUGAGACACAGAUUUCCUCCCUGCCCGGCCCGUCCACGUAGUGGGACAGCCUGGGCCUCCCCUGCCCAGCCCGGGUGUCUGCCCUCAGAGCCUCUGCUCCUGCCUCCCUCAGAGACCACCUGCUCCUCCUUCCC